GACGAGGGAUCCUAGCGUUGCUCGGAAUCAUUGGGCGUAAAGCGGGUGUAGGUGGCUUUUUAAGUCAGGUGUGAAAGCCCAGGGCUCAACCCUGGAAGUGCAUUUGAUACUGAGAAGCUUGAGUGUGGGAGAGGUUACUGGAAUACCUGGUGUAGUGGUGAAAUACGUAGAUAUCAGGUGGAACACCGGAGGCGAAGGCGGGUAACUGGCCCAAACACUGACACUCAGACCCGAAAGCGUGGGGAUCAAACAGG
rnacentral:rRNA from 1 species